rnacentral:rRNA from 1 species
GAUGAACGCUGGCGGCGUGCCUAAUACAUGCAAGUCGAGCGAACGGACGAGAAGCUUGCUUCUCUGAUGUUAGCGGCGGACGGGUGAGUAACACGUGGAUAACCUACCUAUAAGACUGGGAUAACUUCGGGAAACCGGCGCUAAUACCGGAUAAUAUUUUGAACCGCAUGGUUCAAAAGUGAAAGACGGUCUUGCUGUCACUUAUAGAUGGAUCCGCGCUGCAUUAGCUAGUUGGUAAGGUAACGGCUUACCAAGGCAACGAUGCAUAGCCGACCUGAGAGGGUGAUCGGCCACACUGGAACUGAGACACGGUCCAGACUCCUACGGGAGGCAGCAGUAGGGAAUCUUCCGCAAUGGGCGAAAGCCUGACGGAGCAACGCCGCGUGAGUGAUGAAGGUCUUCGGAUCGAAAAACUCUGUUAUUAGGGAAGAACAUAUGUGUAAGUAACUGUGCACAUCUUGAAGGUACCUAAUCAGAAAGCCACGGCUAAAUACGUG